rnacentral:rRNA from 2 species
CGAUCACGCUGGCGGCGUGCCUACACAUGCAAGUCGUGCCAAGGUAUCCGUAACUUGCUCCUUUGACGUUAGCGGCGGACGGGUGAGUAACACGUGGAUAACCUACCUAUAAGACUGGGAUAACUUCGGGAAACCGGAGCUAAUACCGGAUAACAUAUUGAACCGCAUGGUUCAAUAGUGAAAGGCGGCUUUGCUGUCACUUAUAGAUGGAUCCGCGCCGUAUUAGCUAGUUGGUAAGGUAACGGCUUACCAAGGCAACGAUACGUAGCCGACCUGAGAGGGUGAUCGGCCACACUGGAACUGAGACACGGUCCAGACUCCUACGGGAGGCAGCAGUAGGGAAUCUUCCGCAAUGGGCGAAAGCCUGACGGAGCAACGCCGCGUGAGUGAUGAAGGUCUUCGGAUCGUAAAACUCUGUUAUCAGGGAAGAACAAAUGUGUAAGUAACUGUGCACAUCUUGACGGUACCUGAUCAGAAAGCCACGGCUAACUACGUGCCAGCAGCCGCGGUAAUACGUAGGUGGCAAGCGUUAUCCGGAAUUAUUGGGCGUAAAGCGCGCGUAGGCGGUUUUUUAAUCUGAUGUGAAAGCCCCGGCUCACCGUGGAGGGUCAUUGGAAACUGGAAAACUUGAGUGCAAAAAAAGAAAGUGGAAAUUCCUGUGUAACGGUGAAAUGCCCAAAGAUUUGGG